rnacentral:lncRNA from 1 species
CACCACUUGAAUUCCUUUGCCGAGCGAAGAUGAUGCUGGCCGCGGCAUCUCUGAGCUCCGAUCUAUCAACAUCAGGUUUCGUGCCCCCACCAAGGUUGGGUAGUUUUCAUGCCAUGGACUACAUUGGAGAGGCCAUGACCCAGCAGCGAGGCAUGGGAGCUCAUGGAUGAAACGAACACAAGCUUGUCAGGGCACGGCUCUG